rnacentral:lncRNA from 1 species
CAGUUCUGGGCUCAAGAGAGACAUGGACAAGUCCAGUGAAGGGCCACAAAGAUGAUGAAGGGACUGUAGCAUCUGAUAUAUGAGGAGAGGCUGAGAGAGCUGGGACCGUUCAACCUGGAGAAGAGAAAGCUCAGAGGGGUUCUUAUCAAUGUGUAUGAAUAUCUGAUGUAUGGCAUAAAGAAGAGGGAGCCAGACUCUUCUCAGUGGUAUUCAGUGACAGGAAAAAAGGCAAUGGGCACAAAUUGAAACCCAGAAUAUUCCAUUUAAACAUAAGUAAAAACUUUCUUACUGUGAGGGUGGUCUAACGCUGGAAGAGAUUGCCUAGAGAGGUUGUGGAGUAUCCAACCUUGGAGAUGUUCAAAACAUGACUGGACAAGGUCCUGGGUAACCUGCUCUAGCUGACCCUGCUUUGGACCAGAUGAUCUCCAGAGGACCCUGCCACCCCCAACUGUUAUGUGAUUCAGUGAAAUAGCAAUAGCAUCCAGCUUUGAAGGAAGGCUCUUCUGGGAAAAGUUCAGAUGGUGUCUGAGGUGGAAGUAUGGUUAAUGGAAUUGGGGCACUAUGAAUACGCUAACCCUGUGAUUGAAAUACGCUGACUCUGUGUUUGACUUAGAGUAACCUUAGCCGCCUGAGCAACAGCAAGUAGAUAACACGCCUGAAUUCGCCGCCUGGAUCUGGAUUUGGAGGUCACAGAGUAAGCGGAAUGAAACAACAGAUAGCUCAUGAACUGAGUGACCAGACCAAUCGGGCUGAUGGAAGAUGCGCGUGGACAAGGGGACCUAACCAAUCUAAGCACUGGAAGUGGCGCGUGAUAGCUCGGGGGGAAAUAAAAGAUCACUAGGGGGAAAGCUUCGGGGCUGCUGUGCAGACGCUAUAAUAAAGAGCAUUAAUUCAUAUUGAAUGACUCUGACCUUCCUUCUACUCCGGGGAGGCGUCGCUGAAUUUCCGACUGCAAGUGGUGACCCCGACAUGAUACUUUGAUGAACGACGUGAUUCCUUUGACGACGGGUCUGCAGCGGAGGGAAGGCGACUGCGGGGGAGUAGAGGACCUCGGCAGGAAAAAAUAAGGUGUGCGCACGUCAACGACUCACUGGAAGAGGGGGUAUUUCUGUGUUGCAGGACCGGACGGACCAUUGUGGGUACCAAGUCGUUGGUGCAAGCCUGCCCUGGAAAUACGACCUCCGGGGAAUCCUCAGAACAACGAAACCGUGGAAGUAACAAUGUGAUGCUCCUGGGUUUCCAAGUGUUUUUAAA